ACCUCAGCACGGGCGAAGAUAAAAGUGAGAUAGUUAUUGAAAUCAGGGAAGUGAGAGUAGUGUUGAAGUUGUUGCCAAAUCUGAGACUUAUCAGAAGUAGCAGGUGACAUUUGUUACUCCAAUAAUUCACAGAUAUCUUUGAACCCUUCCUCCUGCAACUGCAAUAUUAGACAUUUGUUGCUCCAAUAAUCCACAGAUCUCUUUGAACCCUUCCUCCUGCGGCUGCCAUGUUGAAUUCGCCGUUGUCGCCAUAGAAGUUUCUAGAAAAAGAACAAAGAAGAUUGCAGAAUACUGGGAAUUUCGGACAAGUUGUGAAAGGGAGGGGCGAUGACGACGAAUGUGUGUUUAAUGUUUAAAAGAAGAAGAAGAGGGGUUUGGAGCGAAUGGGGAUCUGGUGCGUACGGGUGUAGUGUAAGUGGUGUGUGGACCCAGUACCAAACGAAUCAAUCAUUGGCUAUUCAGACAUUUGGAACGGUGGAUGGUGGAUACUACUGUACUCUGGAGGUGCCACUUUAGCUUUGUUCGACCUGUCCCAUUUC
rnacentral:lncRNA from 1 species